AUUGAACGCUGGCGGCAUGCCUUACACAUGCAAGUCGAACGGCAGCACGGGGCAACCUGGUGGCGAGUGGCGAACGGGUGAGUAAUGCAUCGGAACGUACCUUUCAGUGGGGGAUAACGUAGCGAAAGUUACGCUAAUACCGCAUAUUCUGUGUGCAGGAAAGCAGGGGAUCGCAAGACCUUGCGCUGAUUGAGCGGCCGAUGUCAGAUUAGCUAGUUGGUGAGGUAAAGGCUCACCAAGGCGACGAUCUGUAGCGGGUCUGAGAGGAUGAUCCGCCACACUGGAACUGAGACACGGUCCAGACUCCUACGGGAGGCAGCAGUGGGGAAUUUUGGACAAUGGGGGCAACCCUGAUCCAGCCAUGCCGCGUGAGUGAAGAAGGCCUUCGGGUUGUAAAGCUCUUUCGGCCGGGAAGAAAUCGCACGGGCUAAUAUCCUGUGUGGAUGACGGUACCGGAAUAAGAAGCACCGGCUAACUACGUGCCAGCAGCCGCAGUAACAC
rnacentral:rRNA from 1 species